rnacentral:lncRNA from 1 species
GAGAGAGAGAGAGAGAGAGAACUAGACUAGAAUACUGUUAAUAGCACCAAGUGAUUGGUGCUAUUAAGUUUUCGGACCUUGGAUGAAACGAUGUACGGUUAGAAUGAUGGUGGUCCCCGAGGGUUGAGUAGGUGAUUGAUUGAAUAGUAUGAUCUAACGGGUGAAAAUAAUAAAAAAAAGUAGAUCUAGCGGUAGAAAAUUUGGUAACACCAAAUGCUUGGUACUAUCGAUCGAUAACAUAGUAGCCGGACUAUGAAUGCUAUUGGUAGCAAACGAGCUCCGUUGCCACCUAUUUAUUUUCGAUGAUGGAGCCUCCAAAUCGACGAUCGACACCGUUGAACAUGAUCUAUACCACUUGAAGUAUCUAGAAACUAAAUUUUAAAUCUUUUCGACAUCAUUGACCUAAUGAUCAAAGGGUUUCAAAUUUUAUAAUUUUAAUGGUUGAUAUGAGACGUUUUUUCGUUUAACGGUGUAAAGAUAUCUAAAUCAAUUGAAUUCUGGUUAAAAUUUUUUAAAAUUAUUUAGAAUAAGAUCUAUACUCUCGAUCUUGAUUACAAGAUUCCCAUCAUCACUUUUUAAAAGAUAUUCGUGUUUAGCCGUUCAUUUUGUGUCCACUUGAUGGGCAAGAGAACAAUAUCAAAAAAGCAUGAAAUUUGGUUUCUAGAUACUUCAAGUGGUAUGUAGAUCAUGUUCAACGGUGCCGAUCGUCGAUUUGGAGGCUCCAUCAUUGAAAAUAAAUGGGCGGCAACAGAGUCCGUUUGCUACCGAUAACAUUCCAGCUCAACUCUCUCUGUCUCUAUAUAUAGUUAUACACACACACAUUUAAAUUCAUCAUAAAAUCCUAAUGAUUUAUAAUUGUUUAAGAUAAUGUGCUGCACCAAUAAGAUGAUUUUAAUUCUUCUAAAUGAAUGUUAGACGUCUUUUCAAACUUUGAGAAACUAAUUGAUAAUUUGCUUUCGAGUAAAUAUGAGAGAUAUUCUAAGUUACCUCUCCAACAAAACAAGCCAAAAAUGAGAUAUUCCUAGGUAGUAUUAUUAUUAUUUUAAUAAGUAUGCUAAAGAAGCACUAUGUAUGUUUCUAAAUUCAAAAAAAAAAAGAAAAAAGAUAUUUUUGUGUAAUAUUGUAAGUUCUGCUUCUCGAAAGCAGAAGUAUGCUUCACUGUUUUAAUUUUCAAUAAUUUUCUCUAAUAAUAUUCUUCUAUCAUGUGGCAGAUCUUUAUAGAGGGUUCUGUCGUUUACUUAAAAAUUCAUAUUCUAAUUUCUAUCUCAGACUUCCUUUGUUGCUAUGAAUACUACUUGAUCGAACAGUGCUACUCUUUACCACAAAGACAAACAACUUGUUCAAAAGUUGUCUUAGGAAUAAAGAGCACUCACAAAAAUAAAGGAAAAAAAAAAGGAAAAAAAAAGAUAAGGAAUUGUAAAGAUUAAUUGGUGUUGGCGCCUUAAAAAUCGUGCCACGUGGUGAACCGGUAUGUACCACAAGAAUAGCCUUUGAAGCCAGAGAGGAGCAACAUAUGGUGCGCCAGGAGCAGAGAAAGUGCACCUAAAACCAAAAAGCAUGCAGUUGAAGCUUAUACAAUUAGGAUCUGCAGAUAGUGGCCCACAAAAUCAGGGAUGUGGCUCAUCAUGGAAAUAACUGAAUAACAACAGGUGAAAUUAUAAAUAGAUAAGAAACGUUUGACAUAGAGGUAUUUUUCUCUGUGAACGAGAAGACCAAUUUAUUUUUUCUUUCAUUUUUCACGUUCUAGGAGUAGUCUAUUUGCAAUAUUUUCAUUUGUCUUUGCAUUUACUGUUUUUUCCUAGGAGUAGUUUUAGGAUAGUUUCUCUCCACAUUGAACGCCUUAGUAGCGAUUCUCUCUUGUAAACAGUGUUCCUUUGUUGCAAUACACAUAUAUCAACAUUAUUCGGCUCAUUAGCCGAAUAGAAGUUACUGUGUGAAAUUAUUCUUUUAUUUUAAUAUACAUAUAUCAACACCAUUCGGUUCAUCAGCCGAACUGAAGUUACUGUAUGAGAUUGAACUCGGCUGAUUUGAUUCUUCAUUAGUCGAAUCGCUUGAUUCGACGGUGGAAGCAGACUUCGAGGGUCAUCAUCAGUAGCUGCUUCAUUCCUUAGCGUGCUUCCCGAAGGAAGGUAUUGACUAAGUUAGCGGUUAAGAAAAUCGGCUCGCAGCGACUGAAUUUCCACAGUGUCCAAUCUCUCUCUUUCUUUCUCUCUCUCUACCAAUUAUCUUGUAUCAUUUUGCUCUUACACUAAGACCAUACCUUGAAGGUUGGCUGAUUUUGACAUCUAAAAACGACCUUGGGAGUACUGUUGAGAAUAUAUAGUAUUUUGAAGAGUCAAGAAGCAUAAUAUUCUUAUUUUCUUAUAGAAAGAGGAUUGCACAUACUAAAUCUUUCGCAUCCUUCAAAUUUAUUAAAUUAGUAUAGGCCUAUACUUCGCGAAGGGUAGACAAUAUUUGAGCCAAUUAAGAUAGUCUUAUGUACAUUAUAACUUUUUAAUUAGUAUUUUCUUAACUUUCAAUAUUUAUAGAGUUAAAUUAUUUUAAUAAUUUUAUUAAAAAUUUAAUCAAAUUUUGUAAUUUUGAUAGUUAUUUUAUAAUAAAUCUUUUAACUAAAAAGUUAAAAUUGAUUGGCUUAUUUCAAGUUAAAAUUGUUACAUGCACCUAGUGCAUAUUGAUAUUUUAUACACUGCAACUUAUAUAAGAUGACUAAUGUUUCAAUAUCGAAAAUUAAUUAAAUAUAACUUAUUUACAAAAUCUAUUAAUUUAAAUUAUGUUUAAUGAAUUAAAAUCUCUAUUAAAAGGCGUUGAACAUAUGGUGUAUGCACAAAAAUACGUCCAGUGUAGAGAGUGCUUUAUUUUGUGCAUAUAUAAUAUAUAAUUCUAAAGGAGUGGAGAAAUCUUUGCUUGCACCUGCAUGGUGCACACUAAUAAUUUUUUAUAUACUCUAUAAAAUAUUAUAUGGUUGGAAUAUUUGGUAAUUAAUAUUGUAAAUAAAACAUAAUUUAAUAUCAUAUAAUAUAAAAUAUUUAAAUAAUUUAUUAUACUAUUAAAAUUUUAUCGUUAAUGAAUAUUUUAGAAUAAAUUUAUGGUGCAAUAGGCAUAUUAAUAAUUUUAUAAGACAUGUGGCAAUUCUCUAUCGUCUAAUACUUUAAUGGGCAAUGUGGCUUCAUGAAGAAUUGAAGAUUUGUUUUGGUGAUGUGAUCCAACCACUAAGUUAUAUAUUUUAUAAAUUAUAGAUUGUAGAUUUUUCAAUGAAUUGGCAUAUUAUUUUUUAUCCAGAAUUUAGCUUUUAUCCUGUAGUGUACUGAAAAAGCAACAGCUACUUGGUAGGGCAUGGAUAAGGAGAGAGAGAGAAAAGUGAAAUUUGGCUAAUCAUUGUUUUAAUGAGCUCUUAGAUUAAUUCGGUGCUAGCGAUUUAAUUUGCCUCAUCACAAGAGACAUGGCAACCUUUUUUUAAAAAAUAAAAUAAAACAAGAUACAAUAGAUAUGACAUUAAUUGUUUUAAAGAAAAGGACAAUAAUUUAUUAUUAUUCAUUAAAUAUAUAGAAAGAUGGUGCUGAAUCUUAUACUGAGAAUAAAUUAUUUUAAGUCAAUUUGCUUUAAAAAUUUAUUGACUUUUGUUUUUUUUCGUAAAAAAAUGUCAUUUUUAAAUUUUGCAUAUCAGGUUUGAAUUUUUAGUAAAUUGACCAAAUUACUCUUACUCAUCUUUUCUCUCUCCUUUCUUUCUCUCAUUUGUUUCUCUUGGGCCUCUUCAUUUCCCUUUUUCUUAUCGUUCUUUUCUCUCUUUCUCCUUCUACUUUCCGUUCCUUUUUUUCCUUUUCCACUGCCCCAAUCUGCUCCUCUCUCUUACCUUCCCACAUCUCUACCAAUAUCGAUAAUGGCGAUACGGGUUCAUAUACGACACAGAUCACAAGAUUUUGAAGAUGACGAGAAGAAAAAGCACGUUGCGGUAGGAGUGACAAAGGGCAAGGAAGAGGGGCUUGUUAGCGAAAAAUAAUACAGAGGUGUAAUAAAAAGAAAAAAAAGAAUAAAAUGAGAAAUAUAUAUAUUUUCUUUCUUUUGGAAAGGUCACCAUGUGCCACAGUUGCUACAAAAAAAGCCAACAAAUAGGAAAGAAAGAAGAAGAAUAAGAAAAAGAAGUUGCAUUGUUUGAGAUGAAGUUGUACCAUUUGAGAUUUAAGUUGCACUAUUCAAAACUAUUUAAAACUAAGUUGUAACUUUUCAAACGGUGUAACUUAAGUCUCAAACAAUACAACUUAGUCUUAAAUAGUAUAACUUCUAUAUUUUACGGUGCAACUUAAUCUCAAAUAAUGCAACUUAAUCUCAAACAGUAUAACUUUUUAUUUUUAUUUUUUACUAUGACUACUAUUUUUUUUCUUCUUCUUUCUUCCCUAUUUUUUGGGCUUUUUUGUAGUGGCCGAGGCACAAAAUGAACUUCCUAGGUUAAAAAAAAUAUAUGUUUUUUCUUAUAUUUUUAUUUUUUUUAUUCUUUCUUCUUAUAUUUAUCCACUGAUAGCAUUACUUUUCAUGACCGCACACCCUUCCUAGCCCUCUGCCCCCACCACUGCUGCCUUCGCAUCGAUGCGCUCUCCCUCCUUGUUAUCCCCAAAUCCUGCGGCACUCUUCUUGUGGCCGUCGCCGUCCACAUCUGCGUUCUCUUUUGUAGCCUUACCUUCAGAAUUUGUGCCAAGUCCUAGCCAGCGUCACUACCACCGGUGUGGAUGGAGGUGUGCAAGCGGUGGGAGAGAGGAGCAUGACAUCGACGUGGGGGCCGCAGUGGAGGAGGAGGAGGGAGAGAAAGCGGAAGAAAAAAAAAGGAAAAAGAAACUACGAGGAGAAGGGAGACGAAGAGUACGGAGAAAAAAGAAUGAGAGAGAAAGGAGAAAGAAAGAGGAAUACGAGUAGUUCGAUCAAGAGUAUUUUGGUCAGUUUACUAAAAAUUCAAAUCUAGUAUUCAAAAUUCAAAAAAGUGGUCUGAUUUUGCAAAAAUGCUAAAGUAGUGAAUUUUUUUUUAUGCAAAUUAGUCAAUCUUUUUUGAGAUUUUAAUAUUAAAAUAAGUUAAUAAGACUGUACUGAUAGUCUUUGAAUGAGUAAUGUGUAAGAUUUAUAUCAUAUAAUAGCUAUAUUGAUGGCAUCACUCAAGCGAGAACAAUCAGUAAACCAAAAAGGGAGUUACUUUGUGCGUGUAAAAUAGGUAUUACUAUUAUAUAUCUACCGUAAAGUAGAAAACUAUCUAAUAAUGAGAUUAGUUAAAUGAUGAGAAAAAAAAUCCAAACAUUUUCUCUUUUAGAUUAUUCAUGGAUUUUUUGCAAAUAAAUCACUUCAAAUUGCUAAAUUAUAUGUUUACUCCACUAAAUAUAUACUAGUAUAAAAUGUCCUUAUAGCAUCAAUAAACAAAUUUAUAUACUUAUGCCUUAGUUGUUCCUAAGUAGAUGCUCGGGCUUUGGUACAAAUUAGGACAAGUAGCUGAUGUUUUUUGUUUUGAGAUUAGGGCAAAUUAAGUUAUCCAUUGCAGUUCUCUAUUGCAAUACAACUCCUGGCCACUGGAUGCAUAGUCUGAGAUAAAUGGCUAGAAACCAUGUCUUUUGUGAAAAAAAAACCUAAUUAAACGCUGUUUAUUUUAUUGUAAUGGAGGGAAUUGUUGUAACAAAAGUUAUUUUAUAGAAGUCACUAAUUAUAUCAUUCUCAUUUGCUUGUUUGUUUGUUUCCAGGUCACUGCAAAGAAAGCCUAAAUUUACUUACCACAGUUAAUCCUUCUAAUAUUACAUUAAUUAGUUUAUCUUGAUUAUAAUUCAACUUAAGUGACUGCAAAAUUAUUGAGGGUGAAGUUACUUAUGCCUGACUAAUGGAUGAAGAAUCAUUGAACUUUAAAAGCAUGCAAGGAUAAAAGCACAGUAAACUGCACUGUUAGCCCCUAAACUAUUUUCUUGAGUUUUGGGUUUUAAGUAAUGAAAUGCCUUGUUUAAUAGAUUAAGUACUGGUUCUAAUUUAGUUCUAAUUUGAAUUUGAAUUAUGGACAUAGCAUUCUGGACUUGAUCAAUUUUCACUUUCCUCUAAAAGUUUCAAUUUUGUUGCAUUAAAUGGCUUAGACUUUUGAGAAAUGAUUCGGUACUUUUUUUAAAAAAAUAUAAAAAAAUCUUAACCGUUGAUUAAUAAAGGGUAAAAAUGUAACUUUAAUACUUAGCAGGUAAAAGGAUUAUUUUAUUCAAGGUUAGUUUGGUAAUUAAAUAAUAUAAUAUUUAAAGAAACUUUUAAUUGAGGUCCUAAAUUUAUGCAUUAAUUAGUACUAAUUUAGGAAAUUAAUUGAUUAACCAAAUUUAUGAAAUUAUUAGGCAUUAAUUUAGGAAUCUACUUUAAAUGUUUUAGUGUUUCUCAAAUUAUGCAUUAAUUUAAAUUAUAGAAAUUUUAGAAAUAGUUUUAUUUCUAAAUACGAUGAAUUUAAAUUUUAAAAAUUAAAUACUUAAAAUUUAAAAGUGAAAUUUAAAUUAGAGGAAUUUCAUAUUACUAUUUAAAAACUAAAUUUCACUGAGAUUUAAAAUA